GAAAAAUUGGACAGCCAACACUGCAAGGGGUUGUGGAGAGAAACUAGACACAGCUUUUGCUUCCCUUUAAACAUUAACUAGUUUCAUUUUGUUUUAGAGUACCUAAAAUGGGCAUGGAAGGAAAACUCUCAUGUUUGUAGUAGAACCUAUGACGCUGAAGGUAUCAGGGGAAAAAAAUCAAAACAGAACAAUGUAAAACAAAGUGUACAUGUCAG